ACCUGGCUGGUUCAGUCGGUAGAACAUGCCAGUCUUGAUCUCGGGGUGUGGGUCCGAACCCCAUGUUGGGUG
rnacentral:tRNA from 1 species